UGAGCAACCUGCCCCUGGCUCUGGGAUAACUCCGGGAAACCGGAGCUAAUACCGGAUACUCCGGCUGGAUCGCAUGGUCCGGCCGGGAAAGGUCCGCCGGAGAGGGAUGGGCCCGCGGCCUAUCAGCUUGUUGGUGGGGUCAUGGCUCACCAAGGCGACGACGGGUAGCUGGUCUGAGAGGACGACCGGCCACACUGGGACUGAGACACGGCCCAGACUCCUACGGGAGGCA
rnacentral:rRNA from 1 species